UGCAGUCGAACGAACUCUGGUAUUGAUUGGUGCUUGCAUCAUGAUUUACAUUUGAGUGAGUGGCGAACUGGUGAGUAACACGUGGGAAACCUGCCCAGAAGCGGGGGAUAACACCUGGAAACAGAUGCUAAUACCGCAUAACAACUUGGACCGCAUGGUCCGAGUUUGAAAGAUGGCUUCGGCUAUCACUUUUGGAUGGUCCCGCGGCGUAUUAGCUAGAUGGUGGGGUAACGGCUCACCAUGGCAAUGAUACGUAGCCGACCUGAGAGGGUAAUCGGCCACAUUGGGACUGAGACACGGCCCAAACUCCUACGGGAGGCAGCAGUAGGGAAUCUUCCACAAUGGACGAAAGUCUGAUGGAGCAACGCCGCGUGAGUGAAGAAGGGUUUCGGCUCGUAAAACUCUGUUGUUAAAGAAGAACAUAUCUGAGAGUAACUGUUCAGGUAUUGACGGUAUUUAACCAGAAAGCCACGGCUAACUACGUGCCAGCAGCCGCGGUAAUACGUAGGUGGCAAGCGUUGUCCGGAUUUAUUGGGCGUAAAGCGAGCGCAGGCGGUUUUUUAAGUCUGAUGUGAAAGCCUUCGGCUCAACCGAAGAAGUGCAUCGGAAACUGGGAAACUUGAGUGCAGAAGAGGACAGUGGAACUCCAUGUGUAGCGGUGAAAUGCGUAGAUAUAUGGAAGAACACCAGUGGCGAAGGCGGCUGUCUGGUCUGUAACUGACGCUGAGGCUCGAAAGUAUGGGUAGCAAACAGGAUUAGAUACCCUGGUAGUCCAUACCGUAAACGAUGAAUGCUAAGUGUUGGAGGGUUUCCGCCCUUCAGUGCUGCAGCUAACGCAUUAAGCAUUCCGCCUGGGGAGUACNGGCCGCAAGGCUGAAACUCAAAGGAAUUGANGGGGGCCCGCACAAGCGGUGGAGCAUGNGGGUUU
rnacentral:rRNA from 1 species